GGGGAAUAUUGCACAAUGGGGGAAACCCUGAUGCAGCGACGCCGCGUGAGCGAAGAAGUAUUUCGGUAUGUAAAGCUCUAUCAGCAGGGAAGAAGAAUGACGGUACCUGACUAAGAAGCACCGGCUAAAUACGUGCCAGCAGCCGCGGUAAUACGUAUGGUGCAAGCGUUAUCCGGAUUUACUGGGUGUAAAGGGAGCGCAGGCGGUGCGGCAAGUCUGAUGUGAAAGCCCGGGGCUCAACCCCGGUACUGCAUUGGAAACUGUCGUACUAGAGUGUCGGAGGGGUAAGUGGAAUUCCUAGUGUAGCGGUGAAAUGCGUAGAUAUUAGGAGGAACACCAGUGGCGAAGGCGGCUUACUGGACGAUAACUGACGCUGAGGCGCGAAAGUGUGGGGAGCAAACAGGAUUAGAUACCCUGGUAGUCCACACUGUAAACGAUGAAUGCUAGGUGUAGGGGGACAUAGUCCUUCGGUGCCGCAGCAAACGCAAUAAGUAUUCCACCUGGGGAGUACGUUCGCAAGAAUGAAACUCAAAGGAAUUGACGGGGACCCGCACAAGCGGUGGAGCAUGUGGUUUAAUUCGAAGCAACGCGAAGAACCUUACCUGGUCUUGACAUCCCUAUGAAUAACGGGCAAUGCCGUUAGUACUUCGGUACAUAGGAGACAGGUGGUGCAUGGUUGUCGUCAGCUCGUGUCGUGAGAUGUUGGGUUAAGUCCCGCAACGAGCGCAACCCUUAUCUUUAGUAGCCAGCAGUAAGAUGGGCACUCUAGAGAGACUGCCGGGGAUAACCCGGAGGAAGGUGGGGAUGACGUCAAAUCAUCAUGCCCCUUAUGACCAGGGCUACACACGUGCUACAAUGGCGUAAACAAAGAGAAGCGAAGUCGUGAGGCAGAGCGAAUCUCAAAAAUAACGUCUCAGUUCGGAUUGUAGUCUGCAACUCGACUACAUGAAGCUGGAAUCGCUAGUAAUCGCAGAUCAGAAUGCUGCGGUGAAUACGUUCCCG
rnacentral:rRNA from 1 species